rnacentral:rRNA from 1 species
AUUGAACGCUGGCGGCAGGCCUAACACAUGCAAGUCGAAUGGUAACAGGAAACAGCUUGCUGUUUCGCUGCCGAGUGGCGGACGGGUGAGUAAUGUCUGGGAAACUGCCUGAUGGAGGGGGAUAACUACUGGAAACGGUAGCUAAUACCGCAUAACGUCGCAAGACCAAAGAGGGGGACCUUCGGGCCUCUUGCCAUCAGAUGUGCCCAGAUGGGAUUAGCUAGUAGGUGGGGUAACGGCUCACCUAGGCGACGAUCCCUAGCUGGUCUGAGAGGAUGACCAGCCACACUGGAACUGAGACACGGUCCAGACUCCUACGGGAGGCAGCAGUGGGGAAUAUUGCACAAUGGGCGCAAGCCUGAUGCAGCCAUGCCGCGUGUAUGAAGAAGGCCUUCGGGUUGUAAAGUACUUUCAGCGGGGAGGAAGGGAGUAAAGUUAAUACCUUUGCUCAUUGACGUUACCCGCAGAAGAAGCACCGGCUAACUCCGUG